CGGAGGGCGGGGCCGCUGUCGGCCGCUCCCUCUCGGAGCCUGCGCGCCCCGCGGCCCCGCCGGCUCGCCCCGUGGAAGCACGCGCGCACGGAACUCUUCCAAACAAAGUCGCGACGCUGCGCCCGCUCUGCCGGCGGGGAGGGCCGGAGCUGCGCUGCGUCACGUGCACCUCGGGGGCGGGGAGAGCCCCAGCGCGACGCGCGCGCGCCCGGCGUCAACAACUGCGCUUCGCGCCGCCGCCGUCUCGCGCCGUGAGAGAAGUAAACGGAGCUGCGGCGGGAGGGAGGUGUUUAGCAGCGCCGCGCAUGCGCCUCCGGGGUCGGGGGCGGUGCGCGCGGCGGCGCGGCGCGGGAAGCGGUUUGUAAUCCUUAAAGCGGCCGCGCGGCUGGAGCGGGGAGCGGCGCGGGCUGAGCAUGUUGAAGCUCUGAGCUGUAAGGAGGGAGGCUCCAGGAGCACUCAGGAAUUCAUGUCCCUGCAGAGUCUGAGUAACAGAUAUCCCUAUGCUGGACCAUUUUAUUUUUUCCAAGCUCAGAAUUACCAGGUUUUUAGGUAAGUUGCUCUUCCUAUGAAUACCAAACCAUCUAAUCAAUUAGAAUUAUAGAAUCAUAGAAUCAUUUGAGUUGGAAGGAACUCUUAAAAGUCAUCUAGUCCAACUAUCCUGCAAUGAACAGGGACCUCUACAGCUCGAUCAGGGUGCUCAGAGCCCAGUCCAGCCUGACCGUGAAUGUCUCCAAGGACGGGGCUUCCACCACCUCUCUGGGCAACCCGUUCCAGCACCCUUAUCGUAAAAAAAUCUUUUUCCUUGUGUCCAAUCUAAAUCUCUCCUCUUUUAAUUUGGGCCCAUUUUCCCUUGUCUUGCCACAACAGACUCUGAUAGUCUGUCCUCUUCUUUCUUAGAGCUUCUCUUUAGACACUUAAAGAAUCACAGUACAGUUCAGCUCCCGUAGAUUGGUUUUCAACCAGUACUUUACUUGAAGCCCACUAUUUCUGUUUCACACUUGAAAUCCAAAAUCAUUUUUCCAAAAACAUCAAUCAAUCUAGGAAAAAGGAAUUACUACCUCUCUCUUGAGAGGAGCUGCUCUUUUGUGAACACUACCCCCAGCAUGCUCUUAGACCCAGGUUUUGUAUACUGCUCUCUUGUGUUGUAUAUCGUGUUUCUCUGAUUUCCCUUGUAAACCAACAUGUUGCCUAUGUGAAGAAUUUUAUUAAGGAUGCUCUACAAAUAAUGCUGUAGGGGAACAGCUUAGUCAUUGCUUUGCUGAAGUUCAGUACAGUAUUUUACUUGCUCAUUGCACAAUAGUGGCUUGUUUUGGACAAGACUGAUCCCAAACCCACAUUCUUUGAAUUUCAUAUCUAAAUUUUAGAAAAAUCCCAAAGUUCAAGGCAAAUUCCAAAGUCUGUAUAUGGGUCUGUAUUUUUAUAAUCACCUCUACCACACUGUAGUUCCUGCACUGCAUUAUGCAAGGAUUCAUGAUUUAGUUUCUAGUCAAUUUCUUUUCUAUUUUUAUCUGUCUUUCUUUAAUACUUUCACAACCCCGUGGUUCUGUUGACACUGCAAGACAGGAGUCAGUCCUGUACAGAAUGCUGUGUUUAGAUGCCGCAAUAUGUUGCAGAAUAAGGAGAGACAGAAAUAGAAAAUGGCAAAGCAUGUGCAAAAGUCAUCUCAUAAACUUUGUUAAGGCAUUCUGAGCUUUUCUUGGAAUGGACCCUGUUUUAUUCAAAAUCUUGAGAGCAUACAUCAAUACUUCUUAGUUUACAUAAUGAAGAGAAUCUGCUUAAAAUUGUGUUCCUCUCUCAAUAUAAACAUACCACAGCAUAUAUAUGCAUCCUAUAUUUAAUCCAUUGUAGCAAACACGGGGGAAAAAGAGAUACUGCAGAAAACUGCCUAACUUCAACUACUUGACUUCCAAGAAAUGCUGGACUUUACAAACCAAAGUGAAAAAAUAAGUCUUUGUAUCCAGCAUUUGCUGGGUGAUAAUUUGACAUGGCAAUGAGAUGAAAGUUGGAUUCAUGCUAGUUUCAACAUUAGAGGAUUGGAAUGCAGCCUGCUUAGCACAGAAGUCAAACAAUUCACUGGCAAUAGAUUGCUUUCCACUUCUAGAUCUGCUGAAUAAAUAGAAAACUAAUUAACA
rnacentral:lncRNA from 1 species